rnacentral:misc_RNA from 1 species
UGUUUGACAAUCUCACCGCCCCUUCCAAGGAUGCUUCCUAUCUUGCUUCCCGGGCAUAAAUACCUGUAGACAGUAUCUUCUGGCCCAGGUGCAUAGGUACCUCGCUCGUCACCAGUAUUUCUUCUCUUACUUCCACCAUUGUCAUCGUCCCGUGAGGACCUUUUACCGUAGUUGUUUCUCUGACCAGCCAUUGUUUCUCGGUUAGUCUGGGG